rnacentral:rRNA from 1 species
ACGCUGGCGGCAGGCCUAACACAUGCAAGUCGAGCGGAAACGACACUAACAAUCCUUCGGGUGCGUUAAUGGGCGUCGAGCGGCGGACGGGUGAGUAAUGCCUAGGAAAUUGCCUUGAUGUGGGGGAUAACCAUUGGAAACGAUGGCUAAUACCGCAURAUGCCUACGGGCCAAAGAGGGGGACCUUCGGGCCUCUCGCGUCAAGAUAUGCCUAGGUGGGAUUAGCUAGUUGGUGAGGUAAUGGCUCACCAAGGCGACGAUCCCUAGCUGGUCUGAGAGGAUGAUCAGCCACACUGGAACUGAGACACGGUCCAGACUCCUACGGGAGGCAGCAGUGGGGAAUAUUGCACAAUGGGCGAAAGCCUGAUGCAGCCAUGCCGCGUGUAUGAAGAAGGCCUUCGGGUUGUAAAGUACUUUCAGUUGUGAGGAAGGGUGUGKAGUUAAUAGCUGCRCAUCUUGACGUUAGCAACAGAAGAAGCACCGGCUAACUCCGUGCCAGCAGCCGCGGUAAUACGGAGGGUGCGAGCGUUAAUCGGAAUUACUGGGCGUAAAGCGCAUGCAGGUGGUUCAUUAAGUCAGAUGUGAAAGCCCGGGGCUCAACCUCGGAACUGCAUUUGAAACUGGUGAACUAGAGUNCUGUAGAGGGGGGUAGAAUUUCAGGUGUAGCGGUGAAAUGCGUAGAGAUCUGAAGGAAUACCAGUGGCGAAGGCGGCCCCCUGGACA